rnacentral:rRNA from 1 species
AAUGAACGUUGGCGGCAUGGAUUAGGCAUGCAAGUCGAGCGAGAAGUGUAGCAAUACACGGAAAGCGGCGGAAGGGAGAGUAAUACGUGGGAAUCUGCCCUUAGACCUGGGAUAGCAGCGGGAAACUGCUGGUAAUACCAGAUAGUGUCUAUGGACCAAAGGUGUGAUUCCGUCUAGGGAUGAGCCCACGUCCUAUUAGCUAGUUGGUAGGGUAAUGGCCUACCAAGGCGAUGAUGGGUAGCGGGUGUGAGAGCAUGACCCGCCUCACUGGGACUGCGACACUGCCCAGACACCUACGGGUGGCUGCAGUCGAGAAUCUUCGGCAAUGGGCGCAAGCCUGACCGAGCGAUGCCGCGUGCGGGAUGAAGGCCUUCGGGUUGUAAACCGCUGUCGAGGGGGAGCAACUUCCAUAGAGUUAUCUUUAUGAAUUGAGUGAUCCCUGGAGGAAGGACGGGCUAAGUUCGUGCCAGCCGCCGCCGUAAGAC